rnacentral:rRNA from 1 species
AGAGGUAGACGCAGAGAACUGAAACAUCUUAGUACCUGCAGGAAGAGAAAGAAAAUUCGAUUCCCUGAGUAGCGGCGAGCGAAACGGGAAGAGCCCAAACCAACAAGCUUGCUUGUUGGGGUUGUAGGACUCCGAUAUGGUAGUCUGUUAGUAUAGUUGAAGGAUUUGGAAAAUUCCGCUAAAGAGGGUGAAAGCCCCGUAGACGAAAUGCUGACAACACCUAGGAGGAUCCUGAGUACGGCGGAACACGAGAAAUUCCGUCGGAAUCCGCGGGGACCAUCCCGCAAGGCUAAAUACUCCCUAGUGACCGAUAGUGAACCAGUACCGUGAGGGAAAGGUGAAAAGCACCCCGGAAGGGGAGUGAAAUAGAUCCUGAAACCGUGUGCCUACAACAAGUCAAAGCUCGUUAAUGAGUGAUGGCGUGCCUUUUGUAGAAUGAACCGGCGAGUUACGAUUGCAUGCGAGGUUAAGUCGAAGAGACGGAGCCGCAGCGAAAGCGAGUCUGAAUAGGGCGAAUGAGUAUGUAGUCGUAGACCCGAAACCAUGUGAUCUACCCAUGUCCAGGUUGAAGGUGCGGUAAAACGCACUGGAGGACCGAACCCACGUACGUUGAAAAGUGCGGGGAUGAGGUGUGGGUAGCGGAGAAAUUCCAAACGAACUUGGAGAUAGCUGGUUCUCUCCGAAAUAGCUUUAGGGCUAGCCUCGGAAUUGAGAAUGAUGGAGGUAGAGCACUGUUUGGACUAGGGGCCCAUCUCGGGUUACCGAAUUCAGAUAAACUCCGAAUGCCAUUCAUUUAUAUCCGGGAGUCAGACUGCGAGUGAUAAGAUCCGUAGUCGAAAGGGAAACAGCCCAGACCACCAGCUAAGGUCCCAAAAUAUAUGUUAAGUGGAAAAGGAUGUGGGGUUGCACAGACAACUAGGAUGUUGGCUUAGAAGCAGCCACCAUUUAAAGAGUGCGUAAUAGCUCACUAGUCGAGUGACCCUGCGCCGAAAAUGUACCGGGGCUAAACAUAUUACCGAAGCUGUGGACUACACCAUUAGGUGUAGUGGUAGGAGAGCGUUCUAAGGGCGUUGAAGGUCGAUCGUGAGGACGGCUGGAGCGCUUAGAAGUGAGAAUGCCGGUAUGAGUAGCGAAAGACAGGUGAGAAUCCUGUCCACCGUAUGACUAAGGUUUCCUGGGGAAGGCUCGUCCGCCCAGGGUUAGUCGGGACCUAAGCCGAGGCCGAUAGGCGUAGGCGAUGGACAACAGGUUGAUAUUCCUGUACCAGUUGUUUUUGUUUGAGCAAUGGAGGGACGCAGUAGGCUAAGGAAUGCAUGCGAUUGGAAGUGCAUGUCCAAGCAAUGAGUCUUGAGUAGAGUUAAAUGCUUUACUCUUUAAGGACAAGUUGUGACGGGGAGCGAAAUAAUAGUAGCGAAGUUCCUGAUGUCACACUGCCAAGAAAAGCUUCUAGUGAGAAAACAACUGCCCGUACCGUAAACCGACACAGGUAGUCGAGGAGAGUAUCCUAAGGUGAGCGAGCGAACUCUCGUUAAGGAACUCGGCAAAAUGACCCCGUAACUUCGGGAGAAGGGGUGCUGACUUCGGUCAGCCGCAGUGAAUAGGCCCAAGCGACUGUUUAUCAAAAACACAGGUCUCUGCAAAAUCGUAAGAUGAAGUAUAGGGGCUGACGCCUGCCCGGUGCUGGAAGGUUAAGAGGAUGGGUUAGCUUCGGCGAAGCUCAGAAUUGAAGCCCCAGUAAACGGCGGCCGUAACUAUAACGGUCCUAAGGUAGCGAAAUUCCUUGUCGGGUAAGUUCCGACCCGCACGAAAGGCGUAACGAUUUGGGCACUGUCUCAACGAGAGACUCGGUGAAAUUUUAGUACCUGUGAAGAUGCAGGUUACCCGCGACAGGACGGAAAGACCCCAUGGAGCUUUACUGUAGUUUGAUAUUGAGUGUUUGUACCACAUGUACAGGAUAGGUAGGAGCCGAUGAGACCGGA